UGAGUAACGCGUAGGCAACCUGCCGUUGAGAUGGGGACAACAUCCCGAAAGGGGUGCUAAUACCGAAUGUUGUGGAAGUCUCGCAUGGGAUAUCCACUAAAGAUGACCUCUAUUUAUAAGUUAUCGCUCAACGAUGGGCCUGCGUCUGAUUAGCUAGUUGGUGGGGCAACGGCCUACCAAGGCGACGAUCAGUAGCCGGUCUGAGAGGAUGAACGGCCACAUUGGAACUGAGACACGGUCCAGACUCCUACGGGAGGCAGCAGUGGGGAAUCUUCCGCAAUGGGCGAAAGCCUGACGGAGCAACGCCGCGUGAGUGAAGAAGGCCUUCGGGUCGUAAAAGCUCUGUUGAAGGGGACGAAUGUCAAGACUAUCAACAACGGUUUUGAAUGACGGUACCUUUCGAGGAAGCCACGGCUAACUACGUGCC
rnacentral:rRNA from 1 species